rfam:Aedes albopictus isolate Foshan contig104346, whole genome shotgun sequence.
GGCUCGGUAGCUUAGUUGGUGAAGCACUUGUCUAGCGAAUAAGGGUCGUGAGUUCAAAUUUCACCAGAGCUG